GAUGAGCAUGCGUCCCAUUAGCUAGUUGGUAAGGUAACGGCUUACCAAGGCUACGAUGGGUAGGGGUCCUGAGAGGGAGAUCCCCCACACUGGUACUGAGACACGGACCAGACUCCUACGGGAGGCAGCAGUGAGGAAUAUUGGACAAUGGGCGCAAGCCUGAUCCAGCCAUGCCGCGUGCAGGAUGACGGUCCUAUGGAUUGUAAACUGCUUUUAUACGAGAAGAAACAUCCCGACGUGUCGGGACUUGACGGUAUCGUAAGAAUAAGGAUCGGCUAACUCCGUGCCAGCAGCCGCGGUAAUACGGAGGAUCCAAGCGUUAUCCGGAAUCAUUGGGUUUAAAGGGUCCGUAGGCGGUUUAAUAAGUCAGUGGUGAAAGCCCAUCGCUCAACGGUGGAACGGCCAUUGAUACUGUUAAACUUGAAUUAUUAGGAAGUAACUAGAAUAUGUAGUGUAGCGGUGAAAUGCUUAGAGAUUGCAUGGAAUACCAAUUGCGAAGGCAGGUUACUACUAAUGGAUUGACGCUGAUGGACGAAAGCGUGGGUAGCGAACAGGAU
rnacentral:rRNA from 1 species